ensembl:lncRNA
UGUGACUGAAGGGACCACAAUACAUUUCAAGUGUCAAACUAAUAACAUCACUAUAAGCGGGGACAUGGUUCAUUUUUACCUUUGCAAGGAUGGAGUUGGGAUACAAAUGGCACCAAUGAAGAAAGGUGCUGAAUCUGUUUUCUUGUUAAAAGAAGUAAAAAAACAAGACUCGGGCAAGUACAGCUGUGUGUACAGCAUAUGUAAACACCCAAUUAGCCAAGUGAAGUCAACAGGGGAUUAUCUGGUCUUACGGGUCAACGGAGUUGAAGAUGUGGAAGUUGGGGUGCAAGGAAAUGAAGAAAUAGAGAAUCUGGACUUAAAGUGCAAGCUGGGCUGUAUUCUCAGCAUAAUGCAAGGAGACAACAUGCAACUCUGCGUGCCUGGCCAACAUCUCCACUUAGAUGAUGGCCCACCACCUCAAGCUUAACCUUGACAAGAAUGGCACCUCUUCGGAAAUUGUGGGGGACCUAUAAAUCCCAAUACUCCAUCAUAACAGAUUAGGGAGUGCUCAUUUAUUGACAAUAAAGAACAGCAUUUUCCGGGAUAGAAUUGUGUUGAGGAAUAGAUCUGGGGAAGGUUAUAAAACAAUUGCUAAAGCAUUGACAUUUCUCAGAAAAACUCCAUCAUUGUGAAAUGUAAAAUGUUUGGAACCACAAAAACACUUCCUAGAGCUGGCUGUCCGACCAAACAAAGUAACUGAGCAUAAAGGACGUUGGUGAGGAAGGGGACCAAGAAGUAAACUGCCCCGCUAACAAAGCUUGGGUGGCUGACCAUAGUUCCAUGAGCAGCACACUAUUCAAUAAAUCAAACAGAAAUUACAAGAUCCCUAGUCAACGACUGUAUGUUUUGUGAUUCUUUUUAGUUCUCCAAACAACCUUGGAUUGUUCUCUGAGCUUCACCGUUUUGACAGUGGUACAGAAAGCAGAGUGUUCUGUUUUCUUUUCCUCAAACCCUGUUGACUGGCCAUUGAUUCCCUGUAGGCAACUGGGUAUCAACUUAUCACACGUGAAAUAAAUAACCCAGGAGAUAUUUCUGUUACUUACAGGUUAACACAUUGGAAAUACAUAUUGUAUUACUUUAC